rnacentral:misc_RNA from 1 species
AUAUUUAUACACACACACGCUCGCAAGCAUACAGUGUAUUAAUUCUUGCACAGGUUUUACCCUGCUGCUGCUUAUGAUCAUGCUGAUGCUGCAGCUCCAAGAUAUAUUUGGAAAACUUUUGUCUCUCUCAACUUCGUAACUCUCCUCUUUCUUUCAUCAAAUAUUUAACACGAUCAAAUUAUUAUUAGUAGUAUUCCUCCUAUCAAUGUGUGUUUUAUGUUAUUAAUCAACAUGACAAUUAGCCUUCUCAAUAAAUUAGUUUGCGGUGGAUAGACCAGGGACUCACCCAACGCUACUUUUACACUGAUAUAUGACAAUGGAAUGCCAAACCUAAAAAGAAAGGAAAAACAAGGAAAAUUUUGGACACCUGCUUCUCUUCGCUUUCAAAAAAAUUCCAGAGCUUCCAAAGCCACUUGAAAAAUUUAUCUUCUGUACAGAAAAGAUACUAUUACAGUUACUAUUUCUGAGAAAACUGCACAGAAAUGGUUUUCACGCUUCAUGGAGGAGUAAUUUGACUUCACAUAUUCUCUGCGUUCUUCCCUACCCAUUCAGUUUAAUGAGGAUUGAUUGAACGAUUUCAUCCACAAGUAUCCCUGCCAGUCCACUAGGAAAUUAGCCAAGCAGAUGGGAUGCUCUCAUGAUAGCGUUGCCCAUUACUUUCACUCAAUGAGUAAGGCUCAAAAACUUAGUGCAUGGUGCAAAAACUCUCUGAAUGAAAGAGAUAAUGCUUGUAGUGCUUCUUUUUUUGCCACCAAGCUUACUCACUCAACACCAAGCUUCUCAUGGACACAGAUACAAAGAUUCUUUUACCACAUCAUCACCAGCAAUGGAAAAUGGUGUCUUUACAUCAACAUGAAGCAGAGUAAGCAAUAGCUGAUUCCCAGCAAGCAACACCUCAAGUCAAGCCAGAGCUGUAUCCAUGCAAGACAAUGAUCUGCAUUUGGUGGGUUUGGGAAAAGCUACUCCAUCAUGAGAUGCUUGGAAACAACCAUGCAGUCAUUGUAGAGCUUUUAUGUUCAGCAAAUGUACCAGCUCUUUAAAGCAAUCCAGCUGAACUGAUUCUACUGGUGACAUGAUGUACGUCUUCUACAUUGCUAAUUUGACCAAAAAUGCUAUUCAAGAGCUUAGUUAGGAAGUUCUUCCACACCCACUACAUGCUCCUGAUAUAACAUCUUCAGAUUAUUACCUUUUCCAUCGUUUUCCAACAGUCUGCCAGAUGUUUCGUUCAUCAACAACAUGGAGCUGAAAACGUGGAUCAAUGAAUCCUUCAAGUCAAGACCCAGUGAUUUCUACUGUCAAGACAUUGACAAGAAGUCCUGAAAAUGGAGAACAUAUUAUUGACUGGUUUGUUAAAAUUAUUGAUGAAAAUAAAGGUUAAAAUAAAUGGAAAAAAA